UAGAAGGAAGUAAAGCUCUCGAAAGCAAAGACAGUAAAGGAAAAAGUGACCUUGAGAAGCUAUUUCCCUCUUCACCGUCCUGCUUGGCUGGAAAAACUGCGGUGAACAUUUGGUUGGCUAAGGCGGAGAGCAAGAAGAUGAAUUGUGAAGUGAAAAACAAGCCGUUCAAAGAGGAGAGAUGUGGAGUCUACAGAGGACCCGGGGGUGACGAAGACUUCUAAGUAAAACUUAGAACAUUUCUUGACACACUAUUAUAAAAUACAUUUUACGAAAUUUGUCAAGUGUGGACAGCCAAAAACGUGCUGAUUGGAUUAAUUUUGGAUUAAACCAGAUGAUGUUUUGUCCCUUUUUA